AACCCAUGGUGAGGGCACUAUCUCAAUAUGUCCUUAUAUCUCUCUCAUGCAUCAUAUAAUGUUUCUAAAUGGAUUUGCACGAAGGAAGAGAUAUCAUUAAUCUU
rfam:Gossypium raimondii Chr01_contig_838, whole genome shotgun sequence.